AUGCUCAUUUCAAUAGUACAUCUGCCAAAACUGGAGCAGUACAGAGAUUGGCAUGGUGCCUGUGGAAGGGUGCCAUGCAAACUUGUGAAGUAUUACGCAUUUUU